AUUUUGAAUACUAUAGUAGACUAAAUAGUGCCCCCCCCACCAAAGGUCCAUGUUGUAAUACCUGGAACCUGUGAAUAUGUUACCUUACAUGGCAAAGGGCACUUACUUUGCAGAUAUGAUAAAGAGGGACUCAGAAGGUGUCAGAGUCAAGGAAGACAAUAUGACAACAAGCCAAGAGGGGUUUGAAGAUGCUACUUUGCUGGCUUUGAAAGGGGCCAGAGCCAGAGAAUCCAAGGAAUGCAGCUCUAGCAGCUGGAAAGGCCACAGUUCUCCCCUAGAGCCUCUGGAGGGAGCGCAGCCCUGCCAGCACCGUAGGUUCAGCCCGGAUGCACCAUUUCAGACUUCGGACCUCCAGAACUAUAAGAGAAUAUAUUGUGCUAUUUUAAACCUUAAAGUUUGUGGUCAUUUGUUCCAGCAGCAACAGGAAACUAAUUUGAGCACCAAGCACUGUAUCUGAUAUAACCAAAGCUUCAAAGGAGGGUGCAGGCCCAGGAGUCGUGUGGCCACUGCCAGGAGAGCUAAAGCCAUAAGACUCUUGGCCACCUCGCUUCCUGCCUCUCUCAGUUGAUUCCCUGUGACUCUAUCCCUGCAUGGAGGAGAGACAAGUGAAAAUGAAAGACAGAUGAAUGUGUCAAGUUGAGAGCUCUUUACAUGAUGAAGGUGUUUCUGCUUCAUUGCAUGAAACAGAACAUAGAGCGGUGAUAAAACCCAGCCAGAUCCUUUGGGUUGACUUCCAACCGCAGGUGGUGGUUACUCAUUAGGAAAGAGCGAACACUGUAAUGACUUCAAAACUAAGGAGUGCAAAGCCAAAUAUUCACUAAUAAUCACUCAUCAAGGAGAACAGAUGGCACACGUUGAACACUCCUGAAAAUGAAAGCCCUUGGCUGCAGGGGUGAAUGUCCAGGACCCACAGAAAAUAUCAAGUCAGAUACCUCUUGAAGCACUGAUGGGAAGGUGCAGCUGGACUCCCUGGAACUCUGAAGCUGAGAGACAGAGCACUACGGAAGGGAGCCCCAUUCCCAAGCAUGGUGUCCAAUACACUGAAAGAAUAACUGGGCUCAGUAAUGCACCUAGAGACUCAGAUUCCAGACCUGCCCACUUGCUUUACUAUCCAAAACAACCAUGACACAUGACUUCUCUGGCGGGGUGUUGGCCAAGACAAACUGAACUAUAGAAGAUCCUUGACUUGCCAACGUUCAAAUGAUGAACUUUCAAAAAUAGCGAAACUGGCUGCAGAGCAAAAGCUUUUCAGCUCUGCACAACACCAACAGAUGGCGCUAAGUGUCACCCUUGUGGAGAGCAGAGGGACCUCGGAAGGGCCUUUGGAAAUCUAAUCUGGUUUUGAGUUCUUGGUGGGAAAAUGCACCUUUAAGUUGGGGGAGUUUGAAGACGUUGCCAAGACACGUGCUGCAGCAUUUGAUCUUUUCUGCCGCACUGGCUUCUGCAAUUAACAUGCUUUCACCAGUGAAACUCAGGUUGCGGGGAGAGCAUUCUUCCAGGUUCAUGCCUGUUGUCAUGGAGUAAUUAUAAUUCAUGUCUCCGUUCACAGUGUCCUGGUUUGUAGAAUAAA
rnacentral:lncRNA from 1 species